CCGUCGAUAGCUCAGGUGGUAGAGCGGUGGACUGUAGAUCCAUAGGUCGCUGGUUCGAAUCCGGCUCGACGGA
rnacentral:tRNA from 1 species